GGCCUGCUGGUCCAAUGGAUAAGGCGCAACCCUCUUAAGGUGGAGAUUCCGAGUUCGAUCCUCGGGUAGGAUA
rfam:Perkinsus marinus ATCC 50983 gcontig_1104296594578, whole genome shotgun sequence.